AUAAACAUUUAUCUGGUGCAAGUAAAAGGAAAAAGAAAGCCGAGCUUGAAGAGCAAACUCUAGAACAUCCAAAAAUUUACAAAGCAGUUCAAAGAAAUUAAAAUCAAUGGUGAAAAUAUUCCUGAACCUGAAAUUGAACUUAAGGCAAAUACCGAAAUUUUCGACCUAACUGAAUGCUCAACUAAUAAAGAUGAACUCGAAUCAGAGAUACUUAUCACUGAUGAACCAGAUAUUAAUGUAAAUUUUCCUACGGACAAAGCUAAUUUUUGCGAAGCUUUAUCAAUCCAAGAGAAAAUAUUUAUUAUUGAUAACGAACCUUGUCAUCCACGAGGACCAUUUCCCAAAGAUGCAAAUAAUAGAAGUUUUUCCUCAUUUUAUUAUUCAGAAAUAUCUAAAUCUGGCAUUAAAACAAAAAGAUGGUGGCUAUGUUAUUCACUGAAACUAAAUAAAUGUUAUU